GACAGAGGGUGCAAACGUUGUUCGGAAUUACUGGGCGUAAAGCGCGUGUAGGCGGCCAUGCAAGUCGGAUGUGAAAGCCCUGGGCUCAACCUGGGAAUGGCAUUGGAAACUGGCGACCUAGAGUGCGGUAGAGGGUAGUGGAAUUCCCGGUGUAGCAGUGAAAUGCGUAGAGAUCGGGAGGAACAUCUGUGGCGAAGGCGACUGCCUGGACCAGCACUGGCACUGAGGCACGAAAGCGUGGGGAGCAAACAGG
rnacentral:rRNA from 1 species